ensembl:snRNA U6 U6 spliceosomal RNA
GCGCUCGCUUUGGCGCACGUCCUAAAACUGGAAUGCUACAGCGAAGAUCAGCAUGGGCUCUGUGCAAGGAUGAUAUGCAAAUUUGGGAGCAGUUAACUGACAUC